GGGCCCGCACAAGCGGUGGAGUAUGUGGUUUAAUUCGAUGCAACGCGAAGAACCUUACCAGGGUUUGACAUCCUGCGAAUCUCUUGGAAACGAGAGAGUGCCUUCGGGAACGCAGUGACAGGUGGUGCAUGGCUGUCGUCAGCUCGUGUCGUGAGAUGUUGGGUUAAGUCCCGCAACGAGCGCAACCCACGUCUUUAGUUGCCAGCAUUUAGUUGGGCACUCUAGAGAGACUGCCGGUGAUAAACCGGAGGAAGGUGUGGAUGACGUCAAGUCAUCAUGCCCCUUACAUCCUGGGCUACACACGUACUACAAUGCUACGGACAGACGGCUGCAAACCCGCGAGGGGGAGCU
rnacentral:rRNA from 1 species